AUUGAACGCUGGCGGCAGGCCUAACACAUGCAAGUCGAACGAGUGGCGGACGGGUGAGUAAUGUCUGGGAAACUGCCCGAUGGAGGGGGGUAACUACUGGAAACGGUAGCUAAUACCGCAUACCAUCGGAUGUGCGCAGAUGGGAUUAGCUAGUAGGUGGGGUAACGGCUCACCUAGGCGACGAUCCCUAGCUGGUCUGAGAGGCUGACCAGCCACACUGGAACUGGGACACGGUCCAGACUCCUACGGGAGGCAGCAGUGGGGAAUAUUGCACAAUGGUCGUAAGCCUGAUACAGCCAUGCCGCGUGUAUGACGAAGGCGUUCGGGUUGUAAAGUACUUUCAGCGAGGAGGCGUUACUCGCAGAAGAGGCACCGGCUAACUCCGUGCCAACCGCCGCGGUAAUAC
rnacentral:rRNA from 1 species